AACGGAAAUUGAUAAUCACUCGGCUCAUGGGACGAUGAAGAGCGCAGCAAACUGUGCAUCAUCGUGUGAACUGCAGGACACAUGAACAUCCUUGAACGCAUACCGCAGUGCGCCCUGCAAAGUAGUUUAAUUAUAUUAUGAAGUGCUGCUUAGACUACGUUUGUUUGACGGUUG
rfam:Glossina fuscipes fuscipes unplaced genomic scaffold Scaffold540, whole genome shotgun sequence.